CUCAGGGCCGUCCUGACCAGGGCAAACAGAGUGGCAUUGAACAUGACUGUCCCGUCACUGUUCAGAGGCAUGUUCAUGGAGACCAAGCGCUGCAGGCGAAGAGAAGCAAAGCUGGUGAUGAUGGCAGGCGGUGCUUAGGGGACCGCAGAACACCGUAGCAGAGUGAUAUGGUUUGGAUCUGUGUCCUCGCCCAAAUCUCAUGUUGAAUUGUAAUCCCCAGAACUGGAGGUGGGGCCUGAUGGAAGGUGAUUGCAUCAUGGGGUGGAUUUCUCAUAAAUGGUUUGGUACCAUCCCCUUGGUGAGUGAGUUCUCAUGAGAUCUGCUUGUUUAAGUGUGUGGUCCCUCCCCCUUCUCUCUUGCUCCCUGUCUGGUGGUUUUUGCUUACACGGACAAGUCCUUCAGGGGUGAUUUCUGACAUUUUGCUGCACCCAUCACCCAAGCAGUAGUCUUUUAUCCCUGACCAUCCUCCCGCCCUUCUCCGAGUCCCCAAAGUCCAUUACAUCAUUUUGCAAAUGGUGCUGCUAUAAAUGUGUGUGUGCAGGUGUCUCUUUCACAUAAUGACUUCUUUUCCUCUGGGUGGAUACCCAGGAGUGGGACUGCUGGAUGGAAUGGUAGGUCUACUUUUAGUUCUUUAAGGAAUCUCCAUACUGUUUUCCAUAGUGGCUGUACUAGUUCACAUUCCCACCAGCGGGGUAAAAGUGUUCCCUUUCCACCACAUCCAUGCCAACAUCUAUUAUUUUUUAUUUUUUAAAUUGCAGCCAUUCUUGCAGGAGUAAGGUGGAGUCUCAUGGUGGUUUCAUGUCUAUUCUUAACCCUUUGUUAGUUAUAUGCAACAGAAAUAUCUUCUUCCAAUU
rnacentral:lncRNA from 1 species